rnacentral:rRNA from 1 species
CUGCUCAGAUUGAACGCUGGCGGCAGGCCUAACACAUGCAAGUCGAACGGUAGCACAGAGAGCUUGCUCUCGGGUGACGAGUGGCGGACGGGUGAGUAAUGUCUGGGAAACUGCCUGAUGGAGGGGGAUAACUACUGGAAACGGUAGCUAAUACCGCAUAACGUCGCAAGACCAAAGAGGGGGACCUUCGGGCCUCUUGCCAUCAGAUGUGCCCAGAUGGGAUUAGCUAGUAGGUGGGGUAACGGCUCACCUAGGCGACGAUCCCUAGCUGGUCUGAGAGGAUGACCAGCCACACUGGAACUGAGACACGGUCCAGACUCCUACGGGAGGCAGCAGUGGGGAAUAUUGCACAAUGGGCGCAAGCCUGAUGCAGCCAUGCCGCGUGUAUGAAGAAGGCCUUCGGGUUGUAAAGUACUUUCAGCGGGGAGGAAGGUGUUGUGGUUAAUAACCACAGCAAUUGACGUUACCCGCAGAAGAAGCACCGGCUAACUCCGUGCCAGCAGCCGCGGUAAUACGGAGGGUGCAAGCGUUAAUCGGAAUUACUGGGCGUAAAGCGCACGCAGGCGGUCUGUCAAGUCGGAUGUGAAAUCCCCGGGCUCAACCUGGGAACUGCAUUCGAAACUGGCAGGCUAGAGUCUUGUAGAGGGGGGUAGAAUUCCAGGUGUAGCGGUGAAAUGCGUAGAGAUCUGGAGGAAUACCGGUGGCGAAGGCGGCCCCCUGGACAAAGACUGACGCUCAGGUGCGAAAGCGUGGGGAGCAAACAGCGAUUAGAUACCCUGGUAGUCCACGCCGUAAACGAUGUCGAUUUGGAGGUUGUGCCCUUGAGGCGUGGCUUCCGGAGCUAACGCGUUAAAUCGACCGCCUGGGGAGUACGGCCGCAAGGUUAAAACUCAAAUGAAUUGACGGGGGCCCGCACAAGCGGUGGAGCAUGUGGUUUAAUUCGAUGCAACGCGAAGAACCUUACCUGGUCUUGACAUCCACAGAACUUAGCAGAGAUGCUUUGGUGCCUUCGGGAACUGUGAGACAGGUGCUGCAUGGCUGUCGUCAGCUCGUGUUGUGAAAUGUUGGGUUAAGUCCCGCAACGAGCGCAACCCUUAUCCUUUGUUGCCAGCGGUUAGGCCGGGAACUCAAAGGAGACUGCCAGUGAUAAACUGGAGGAAGGUGGGGAUGACGUCAAGUCAUCAUGGCCCUUACGACCAGGGCUACACACGUGCUACAAUGGCGCAUACAAAGAGAAGCGACCUCGCGAGAGCAAGCGGACCUCAUAAAGUGCGUCGUAGUCCGGAUUGGAGUCUGCAACUCGACUCCAUGAAGUCGGAAUCGCUAGUAAUCGUAGAUCAGAAUGCUACGGUGAAUACGUUCCCGGGCCUUGUACACACCGCCCGUCACACCAUGGGAGUGGGUUGCAAAAGAAGUAGGUAGCUUAACCUUCGGGAGGGCGCUUACCACUUUGUGAUUCAUGACUGGGGUGAA